AGAGUUUGAUCAUGGCUCAGAGCGAACGCUGGCGGCAGGCCUAACACAUGCAAGUCGAACGAACUCUUCGGAGUUAGUGGCGGACGGGUGAGUAACACGUGGGAACGUGCCUUUAGGUUCGGAAUAACUCAGGGAAACUUGUGCUAAUACCGAAUGUGCCCUUCGGGGGAAAGAUUUAUCGCCUUUAGAGCGGCCCGCGUCUGAUUAGCUAGUUGGUGGGGUAAUGGCCCACCAAGGCUACGAUCAGUAGCUGGUCUGAGAGGAUGACCAGCCACAUUGGGACUGAGACACGGCCCAAACUCCUACGGGAGGCAGCAGUGGGGAAUCUUGCGCAAUGGGCGAAAGCCUGACGCAGCCAUGCCGCGUGGAUGAUGAAGGUCUUAGGAUUGUAAAAUCCUUUCACCGGUGGAGAUAAUGACUGUAGCCGGAGAAGAAGCCCCGGCUAACUUCGUGCCAGCAGCCGCGGUAAUACGAAGGGGGCUAGCGUUGCUCGGAAUUACUGGGCGUAAAGGGAGCGUAGGCGGACAUUUAAGUCAGGGGUGAAAUCCCAGAGCUCAACUCUGGAACUGCCUUUGAUACUGGAUGUCUUGAGUGUGAGAGAGGUAAGUGGAACUCCGAGUGUAGAGGUGAAAUUCGUAGAUAUUCGGAAGAACACCAGUGGCGAAGGCGACUUACUGGCUCAUUACUGACGCUGAGGCUC
rnacentral:rRNA from 1 species